CCCUACGGGGUGCAGCAGGCGCGAAACCUUUACAAUGCACGAAAGUGUGAUAAGGGAACCCAAAGUGCUUUACUUAGUAAGGCUUUUGCCAAGAGUAAAUAUCUUGGAGAAUAAGUGGUGGGAAAGACUGGUGCCAGCCGCCGCGGUAAUACCAGCGCCACGAGUGGGAACUACAAUUAUUGGGCCUAAAGCGUCCGUAGCCUGUUUGAUAAAUUUCUUGUGAAAUUGUUAAGCUCAACUUAACAACGUGCAGGAAAGACUGUCAAACUUGGGACUGGGAGGGGUUAGAAGUAUCAAAGGGGUAGCGGUAAAAUGUUAUAAUCCUUUUGAGACUACCAAUGGCGAAGGCAUCUAACCAGAACAGGUCCGACGGUGAGGGACGAAAGCUAGGGGAGCAAACCGGAUUAGAUACCCGAGUAGUCCUAGCCGUAAACGCUGCGAGCAAGAUGUUGCGUAUUCUUCGUGAAUAUGCAGUAUCGAAGAGAAGUCGUUAAGCUCGCCGCCUGGGAAGUAUGGUCGCAAGGCUGAAACUUAAAGGAAUUGGCGGGGGAGCAC
rnacentral:rRNA from 1 species